GCUGAGAUAUUUGAGUUGACACCAUCGUUGAGAGUUGUUGAAGUGAAGAAGAAAGGAGGAGAUAGCUUGGAGUAUGAGGAGUUUUACAACAGGGAAUUGAAGCCAGGAUUACAGAAUUUAGCACAUGAAGUUGGAUACCCUGUUAAUUCAUCGUAUUUGCCAUCAGAUACUGCCCCCGUGAGCCAAAACUAAUACAACCGGAGGACAUUGACUAGACGAUUAAUUUAAGGUACAGUGAAGGCAACCUUUGUAGGCAUUAAGCUGCGACAAGUUAAGCAACUGGAGGACGGAGGACGUGGUCCUGUGAAGUAUCAACAGCAGCAGGAGGCAUGAAUUGCCACAUCGCGACACCAGGGUAACUCAUGAUUGGCACCAGCUUGCUUCCUGGAAAUUGACCAUGAGCAGCAAAUGCAGAAGGUAUAGCAGGAGGCAAGUAACUAGGCUGUGCACUUGUAGUCUUUAGUUGUUGCUCUAGCUUCUCCUUUUCAGCUUUCAGCCUGUGUUUUUCAUCUCGAAGCUCGGUUUUCUCAACCUUUAACUCCUUGAUCUUUUCUUGCAGAUUCAAGUUUGAGUCUUUCAACUUUUGAGCUUCAUCACGUAACUGGGUCACCAAGCGAACAGCAUCAACAAGAAUAGCGGAUUUGUCUGUUUUAGGGGGUCUUCCAGGCUCAAGGAGUGCACCCAAUUCCAUGAACUUGUCAUUCAGCCUAUCUCUUCGCAGUUUCUCUCUGCAAGCUUUGGAACUUGUUGGAGCACAUGAUUCAACCCUUGCCCGUUUCUUAGAACCACUUUCCUUGGGGUAAUCUGAUUCACCAAUUGACCCAUCGAUUUCAGAACUAACAUUCCUUGAACCAUUCAAAUUCUGCACAGACCAGUUAAACCCAGAUGCAGAAGCUGAGAAAUUCGAAUCAGGGACGCAACUAUCUUCGAAUCCGUAAUCAUAAAGCCAAUUGGUACUCUCCGGUGAAACCAUCUCCGAUCAGUCGCCGGCCAGAAGAUGAAAAAAAUAAUUCUCCCGGUAAAUUCUCCAAUGAGGGUUUCCAAUUGCUGUUUGAAUCGGAAAAUGUAUUU
rnacentral:misc_RNA from 1 species